ensembl:lncRNA LINC00237 long intergenic non-protein coding RNA 237
GCGGCCGCGGACUGCGUCCCUGGGGACACUGGAGGGGACUCCAGGGACAGCGUGGGUGGGCCUUUCCCCCGCACGCGCCUCUGUCACUCUCUUUCCGGGCCAGAGCCGGGGCAGCGCUCUAAAUUAAGGUCGACCUCCAGCGCUGGGUGAAGUCUUGAGUCCGCCCGGGAGCCCUAGAAGAGACUGGGGCAGCAUGAAUGUGCUGGAAGAUUAGAGGCUGCUGAUGCUGAAGGAAGGAGAAACGAGGAGGAAGUGUCCCUGUGGACAAGUCAUCUCCCUUCAUUUAAGCCAGGCCAGUAGUCCGGGAGACAUUCUGAAUGAUGCAUUAUCCUAGGCACCAGAAAGUAUCUAACAUUCUCAUGGACAGCAGGGAAAAAUGAGCACAUGAGACAGGGGAAGAUUCCAGCACCUGUGAACAUGUUUGUGCAGGUUUCCAGUCAGUACAUGGAUAUCCCUCAAGCCUUUGAAUCCAGUCUCCUGUGUUGUGAUUGGACCGUUUGUCAUUAGGUUUCCAGUGGCAGAGUAAUGCUGUGGGAGAACUGGCUACGAUGGCCGCAGGAGGUGAAUUAAGUAUUGUUGUGUUUUUAGUAGAACCACUAAAGGAAGAUCUGCAGGCAAGUUGGAUGAGUAUAAGAGCCAAAGAUUGACAAGACUUCCUCAGAUGCUCCUACUGACCAGUGGGGGCACUUCUACAGCUCCCCGAAUAUGUUCUCCCUGCAACCCCCACCACUUUUUAAUUAAAUGGCCAGAACUGCCUUUUUGUAUCAAAACUUAUUUUAGUCUAUCAAUCAAAGGCUUCUAUAGCCCACCUCAUGGCAAAGGAUAUCAGAGAGGGAAGGCUGGGAGGUAUGAAUUUGAAGCUGGACACGUUGCUGCUCCCCUUAAAGUUUGGAUUAUUUUACUAAAGAAGAAGAGAACAGGCAGAGUCUCACUGUUUUCCAGUCUGGCCUCAAACUCCUGGGCUCUAGAGAUCCUCCCACCUCAGUCUCCUGAGUAGUUGAAACUACUGGUGUGCACCACUGCACCUGGCUAAUGGUGUUUUUUUUUUUUUAUGAGUAAAAUUUUACAUUUUCAUGAAGUCUAAUUUAUUAGAUGUUUUCUCUAAUGGUCUUUAAAGUUUUGUGCCUUAAAAAAUAUUUCUCUACUCUAAGAUCAUGAAGAUAGUCUCCUAUAUAUUUUUAGGAACUUUAUAUGUUAACUUUCACAUUUAGGUUUAUGAUUUAUCUUAAUUUUUUUUGUGUGAAUGGUGUGAGGUAGGAGGUCAAGUUUCAUUUUUAAGAUAUAAAUUCAAAUUUCUCCAUACUAUUUAUUGAAAAUGUUUUUCUUUUCCCUUUGAGUUGUUGAGCAUCUUCAUUGAAAAUCAAUUGAAGGCUGGGUGUGGUGGCUCACACCUGUAAUCCCAGCACUUUGGGAGACCGAGUCAGGUGGAUCACCUGAGGUCAGGAGUUCGAGACCAGCCUGAUCAACAUGGAGAAACCAAGUCUCUCCAAAAAAAAAAAAAACGAAAAUACAAAAAUUAGCCGGGCAUGGUGGCACAUGCCUGUAAUCCCAGCUACUCAGGAGGCUGAGGCAUGAGAAUCGCUUGAACCCAGGAGGCGGAGGUUGCAGUGAGCCGAGAUUGCACCAUUAUACUCCAGCCUGGGCAACAAGAGCAAAACUCUGUCUCAAAAAAAAAAAUUAAUUGACUUUAUGGGUCUAUUUUUUGCCUCUAGUCUAUUACUUUGAUCUAUCUAUAUGUCUUUGCACAGAUACACUGCUUUGUUUUGUUUUUUCUUGGCAUAGAUGUGCUGUUUUAAUUCAUGCAGCUUUGUAAUAAGUCUUAAACUCUGCUAGUAGUAUAAGUCCUCCUGCUUUGUUUUUUUUCUCAUGAUUGUCUUUGCUAAUCUAGUGCCUUUGCAUUUCCACAUCAACUUGUUGAUUUCUAAAAUAAGGCUUGCUAGGGUUUUGAUUAGAAUCAUGGUGAUUUAAUAGCUCAGUUUGGGGGUGAAUUGCUAUCUACAAUAUUGAGUUUGCCACUCCAUGAAAAUAGUAUAUCUCUCCAUUUAUUUAGAUCUUUAGAUUUUUUAGUAGUACUUUAUAGUAGUGUAAAUGUCUUGCACAUAUUUUGUUACAUUCAUUCCCAGGCAUUUAAUGUUUUUGAUAC